CCAGACUCCUACGGGGGCAGCAGUGGGGAAUAUUGCACAAUGGGCGGAAGCCUGAUGCAGCAACGCCGCGUGCGGGAUGACGGCCUUCGGGUUGUAAACCGCUUUCGCCUGUGACGAAGCGUGAGUGACGGUAAUGGGUAAAGAAGCACCGGCUAACUACGUGCCGGCAGCCGCGGUGAUACGUAGGGUGCGAGCGUUGUCCGGAUUUAUUGGGCGUAAAGGGCUCGUAGGUGGUUGAUCGCGUCGGAAGUGUAAUCUUGGGGCUUAACCCUGAGCGUGCUUUCGAUACGGGUUGACUUGAGGAAGGUAGGGGAGAAUGGAAUUCCUGGUGGAGCGGUGGAAUGCGCAGAUAUCAGGAGGAACACCAGUGGCGAAGGCGGUUCUCUGGGCCUUUCCUGACGCUGAGGAGCGAAAGCGUGGGGAGCGAACAGGCUUAGAUACCCUGGUAGUCCACGCUGUAAACGGUGGGUACUAGGUGUGGGGUCCAUUCCACGGGUUCCGUGCCGUAGCUAACGCUUUAAGUACCCCGCCUGGGGAGUACGGCCGCAAGGCUAAAACUCAAAGGAAUUGACGGGGGCCCGCACAAG
rnacentral:rRNA from 1 species